CAAUAGAUAGCGUUGCUCUUUUACAUUUCUCUUUGGGAGCUUCUUUCUACCCUCAGCCAAAAUUUUCCCUCGUUUUCUAAAUUCAGUUUCGCUUCUUUUAGAUUCAUCAAACCCAUUCCCCCAAAUUUGACUUCGUAUUUGCCCCCAAAUUUCAGUUCGUAUUUGCCCCCAAAUUUUAAAAAACCUAUCACAAUAUCUCCUAAAUUACAUUUUCGCGUUCCCUCUACAACCACAUUUUCCCUCUUCACAAUUCUAAUUUUUCUUCCCUGCAUCGCAAUCUCGAAUCUCUCCAGAAGCUUCUUCUCACCAAAGCCAUCUUCAUCGACGAAGAGUCGUUCUCCAAAACCUUCCUUACCGCUGACCAAGCCCGCUCCAUCAAACUGCUCCAGCAACGAGUUGAGACAUUGGAGAGAGAGGUUGACUCUGCUAUCACCGUUGCCGCUCGCCCUCGCUCUGAGAAACGACAAGCUGAGGCCGCUCAGAAAGUCGCCGACUUGCACGCAUUGGAGAGCUGGAAAGCGUGAAAAAAUGAAAGCGCGAUGGUAAGACCCACUCACAUGGCUUUGGCAUUUUCAUAUUAUAAAGCACUCGCUCACUCCAUAUACAGACAUCAUCACAGUUACCAUAAAUGACACUGUUUCGAUCCAAGAUCUUCUCUUGUUCCACCAUGCCAAACCCUAGGCUCCACCAAGCAAUGCGGGAUUUUUCGGGAGAGGGUUAGCGUAAAGGUGCCAAACGAAGAAAAUGCUUGUUUUCGUUUUCGUCGUUGUUGUCACCUUCAUCUCCCUCUAGGAGUUUUGCUAGUGCCACGACCACGUUUACACGUUCACCAUACACCACCGCCACUCCGAACCCGUCAAAAAGUGGUCCCACGCCGCUACCAGAAUCCCCCUCCUCCCGAUAAGGGCACCGUCGAGUACUACACUGAGUUGACCGACCACGAUCGCUUCCUCCGUGGCCGCAAACUCUCUCAAAUCGACGCCAGUCUCGCUUUCUCCGAUGGCAACUCCACCUUCCGCAUCAGAUCCCUCGGAUUAUUCAUACGACAGUUGAAAUAGGACAUCAGGAGUGAAGUUCAUGGUGGCGCUUGAUACCAGAAGUGACCUGUUCUGGGUACCCUGUGAUUGUACAAGAUGUGUUGCUACUGAUAGCCCAACCUUUGCUUCGGAUCAAAAUCAAUGAUAAUGAUUGUGGAUAUUAUGUGUGUCGAUGUAUAAAAGAAAUUAUUACAUACUGUGAAGGAUGAAUAAUUCCAACUGAUUAUUUUUAUAAUUGCAUAUAUCAACCAUAUCGUGACAACAAAUUAUUGAAGUUAGGGAAGGUUGAUGUUUACAUGUAAUCAGUACAUGCUUAUAGGUUGUUAUGGUGAUGUAAAUGUUUAUAGGUACAAGAUAUAUAUGUUAUGGUUGUAUAUAUUGUCUUAUAAAGCAAUGUCAUGUCAUCACACUUAGUUGACACUCAAAGAUUAUAUUUUGAAAUAUUAUUAUAUCAAUAGUUUUUAUUUAUA